UACGGAGGGGGCUAGCGUUGUUCGGAAUUACUGGGCGUAAAGCGCACGUAGGCGGCUUUGUAAGUUAGAGGUGAAAGCCCAGGGCUCAACCCUGGAAUUGCCUUUAAGACUGCAUCGCUUGAACAUCGGAGAGGUAAGUGGAAUUCCGAGUGUAGAGGUGAAAUUCGUAGAUAUCGGGAGGAACACCAGUGGCGAAGGCGACUGACCUGGCCUGUUCUUGACGCUGAGGCGCGAAAGCUAGGGGAGCAAACGGG
rnacentral:rRNA from 1 species